rnacentral:lncRNA from 1 species
UAGAAAUCAGGCUCUCUUAAGCUCACUAAUUUUGGUCAUUGAAGUGAACUGAAAUGAAAGGAUAUAAUUUAUUCUCUUGCUUCAUUACAGAAUCUUGCUGCUGAGAAAACAUACAAUAACCUAGAUAUCACGGUGACCCAGGCCCUUCAGCACCGUUCACAGUAUUUUGAAGGUGUUGUGAAGUGCAAUAAGCUGGAAAUACUGGAGACCAUCGUGGACAGAAUAGUAAGAGCUGAGGUCCAUCGGCUGGUGGUGGUAAAUGAAGCAGAUAGUAUUGUGGGUAUUAUUUCCCUGUCGGACAUUCUGCAAGCCCUGAUCCUCACACCAGCAGGUAAAAUGCUGGUUUCUGACCUUUGCCAUCGGCGUCUAGGAAGGGUGGGAGGUAGAACAGGAAGUGCAGCAUUUAAACCAUCAUUUCUCCACCCACCUACAGAUCAAGGCUUUGAGUAUAUUACUUUGAAACCAUUUUCGUUUUCUCUU